rnacentral:rRNA from 1 species
UACGUAGGGGGCAAGCGUUGUCCGGAUUUAUUGGGCGUAAAGAGCGUGUAGGCGGCCAAGCAGGUCCGCUGUGAAAACUCGAGGCUCAACCUCGAGACGUCGGUGGAAACCGUUUGGCUAGAGUCCGGAAGAGGAGAGUGGAAUUCCCGGUGUAGCGGUGAAAUGCGCAGAUAUCGGGAAGAACACCCGUGGCGAAGGCGGCUCUCUGGGACGGUACUGGCGCUGAGACGCGAAAGCGUGGGGGGCGAACAGG